UCACACAGACAGCAAAUCUUUGGGGGUGCUUUGAUUCAUUUUGGGGGUGCUGAAGCAACGUUUCAUCCAAGAAGCUCCAGAUGUUUGUGCUCCAGAUGUUUGUGCUCCUGGUGAACAGGCUCACAGUUUCCUCCUUGAAAUAAGUGUUUAUAUUGUUGUUAUAUUGUUGACCCACUAUUGAUCAUGUGACUCAUCACAUGAUCAAUGGUGAGCGUCUCUUUCCCUCUCAGGUUUAAAUAUCUGGGACUCUCCACCGUUUGGUUUUAGAACUGAAGAAGCUUCUUGGAUGAAACGUCUUCAAGAAACUUAAAGAUGUCUCUUUUCUCUCCAAGCUCCUUAGAUCACAUGACCUGGAUGACUGAACCUACAGACAUAUUGACCUGGUUUCUAGGUCACAUGACAGACUGACUGAAGAUGAUGAUGGAGGAAGAGGAGGACAGAGCAGAGUCUGCAGGGUCCAGCUGUCCGUCUGUGAGGAGUGACCGGUCCAAAGAUCAACCUCCAGACUUCAGAGUUGAACCUGGACCAACGAGAGGUCAGAGGUCACAGUCUGCAGGGUCCAGCUGUCCGUCUGUGAGGAGUGACCGGUCCAAAGAUGAACCUCCAGGCUUCAGUGGUGAACCUGGACCAACGAG